GUGCUUGCUUUGGCAGCACAUAUACUAAAAUUGGAAUGAUACAAAGAAGAUUAUCAUGGCCUCUGUGCAAGGAUGACAUGUAAAUUCAUGAAGCAUCCUGUAUUUUU
ensembl:snRNA U6 U6 spliceosomal RNA